rnacentral:tRNA from 1 species
GUCGGUAUAGCUCAGUGGUAGAGUGUAUGCUUAGCAUGCAUGAGGACCUGGGUUCUAUUCCCAUGACCUCCA